UACGUAGGGGGCAAGCGUUGUCCGGAAUCAUUGGGCGUAAAGAGCGUGUAGGCGGUCCGGUAAGUCGGCUGUGAAAGUCCAAGGCUCAACCUUGGGAUGCCGGUCGAUACUGCCGGACUAGAGUUCGGAAGAGGCGAGUGGAAUUCCCGGUGUAGCGGUGAAAUGCGCAGAUAUCAGGAGGAACACCGAUGGCGAAGGCAGGUCUCUGGGCAUUAACUGACGCUGAGGAGCGAAAGCAUGGGGAGCGAACAGG
rnacentral:rRNA from 1 species